rnacentral:rRNA from 1 species
CCUACGGGGGGCAGCAGUAGGGAAUAUUGCUCAAUGGGGGAAACCCUGAAGCAGCAACGCCGCGUGGAGGAUGAAGGUUUUCGGAUUGUAAACUCCUUUUGUUAGAGAAGAUAAUGACGGUAUCUAACGAAUAAGCACCGGCUAACUCCGUGCCAGCAGCCGCGGUAAUACGGAGGGUGCAAGCGUUACUCGGAAUCACUGGGCGUAAAGAGCGCGUAGGCGGGAUAGCAAGUCAGAUGUGAAAUCCUAUGGCUUAACCAUAGAACUGCAUUUGAAACUGUUAUUCUAGAGUAUGGGAGAGGUAGGUGGAAUUCUUGGUGUAGGGGUAAAAUGCGUAGAGAUCAGGAGGAAUACUCGUGGCGAAGGCGACCUGCUAGAACAUAACUGACGCUGAUGCGCGAAAGCGUGGGGAGCAAACAGGAUUAGAUACCCGUGUAGUC